AUGGAAAUAGAGAUCGCCGCGCUCAUCAUUGACAAUGGCUCUGGCAUGUGCAAAGCUGGCUUUGCUGGGGAUGGAUGGCCCCUGAGCUGUGUUCCCCUCCAUCAUCAGGUGACCCCGGCACCAGGGUGUGAUGGUGGGCAUGGGCCAGAAGGACUCCUACAUGGGCCAUGAGGCCCAGAGCAAGCACGACAUCCUGACCCUGAAGUACCCUAUCGAGCAUGGCAUCAUCACCAUCUGGGAUGACAUGGAGAAGAUCUGGCACCACACCUUCUACAACGAGCUGUGCAUGACCCCAGAGAAGCACCCGGUGCUGUUGGCCGAGGCCCCUCGAACCCCAAGGCCAACAGAGAAAAGAUGACUCAGAUCAUGUUUGAGACCUUCAACACCCCAGCCAUGUAUGUGGCCAUCCAGGCCGUGUUGUCCCUCUAAGCCUCUGGGCGCAUCACUGGCACUGUCAUGGACUCUGGAGACAGGGCCACCUACAUGGUACCCAUCUACGAGGGCCAUGCCCUCCCACCACGCCAUCCUGCGUCUGGACCUGGCUGGCCAGGACCUGACCAACUACCUCAUGAAGAUCCUCACCAAGCUUCACCAUCACGGCCAAGCAGGAGAUUGUGCGCGACAUCAACGAGAAGGUGUGCUACAUCGCCCUGGACUUCGAGCAGGAGAUGGCCACUGCCACAUCCUCCUCCUCCCUGGAGAAGAGCUAUGAGCUGCCUGAUGGCCAGGUCAGGUCAUCACCAUCGGCAACAAGUGGUUCUGGUGUCUGCAGGUGCUGUUCCAGCCUUCCUUCUUGGGCAUGGAAUCCUGCGGCAUCCACAAGACCACCUUCAACUCCAUCAUGAAGUGUGACGUGGACAUCCGCAAAGACCUGUACGCCAACACAGUGCUGUCCAGCAGCACCACCAUGUGCCCUGGCAUCACCACGCUGGCAUCCAGCACCAUGAAGAUCAAGUUCAUCAUGCCCCCAGAGCACAAGUACUCGGUGUGGAUUGGUGGUUCCAUCCUGGCCUCACUGUCCACCUUCCAGCAGAUGUGGAUUAGCAAUUAGGUAUGUGGCCCCUCCAUCAUCCACUGCAAAU
rnacentral:lncRNA from 1 species